UACGUAGGGUGCGAGCGUUGUCCGGAAUUAUUGGGCGUAAAGGGCUCGUAGGCGGUUUGUCGCGUCGGGAGUGAAAUCCACUGGCUUAACUGGUGGCUUGCUUUCGAUACGGGCAGACUGGAGGUAUGCAGGGGAGAACGGAAUUCCUGGUGUAGCGGUGAAAUGCGCAGAUAUCAGGAGGAACACCAGUGGCGAAGGCGGCUUUCUGGUCUGUUCUUGACGCUGAGGCGCGAAAGCUAGGGUAGCAAACGGG
rnacentral:rRNA from 1 species